GCUGAUGAUGCAACUGGUGAUUGCAAGAGAAAGAGGACGAGAACAAUUUUCACUCCACAACAACUGGAAAUAUUGGAGAAAGAAUUCGAACGACAACAAUAUAUAGUUGGUCCUGAACGACAGUAUUUGGCCGUCUCUCUAAACUUGACGGAAAAUCAAGUGAAAAUCUGGUUUCAAAAUCGCAGAAUUAAAUACAGAAAAGAAAACUAUUAGAAAAACAUUAUUAGUAUGAUUAUAAAAAGACAAUUUAUGUAAAUAUCGAAAGGUUUCAUAACCCCAGAAUUAGAUAUAGAAAAGAAUUAGAACACUGUAAAAGCAAAUUGGUUUAAAACAACUCAUAAAUUAGCCUUUCUCGAUCACGAUGACGAAUAUCCGCCAUUUUUGGGUGGCAUCCAAUUCUCGUUAACCAAUGUAGAAAUCAAAAAUAAACUAACCAUUUACGAAGCAAAUUUACCAUCAUUUGUCCAAAAAAUUAUAAAAAGUCGCCGUUAUGUGGACUUAUCUCGCAGACUUCGGCUGACUGAAUGCCACCCAAAAAUGGCGGCGUGAGAAAGGCUAAUUGCGUGUUAUCUCGGACUCAAAAUAAAUCUGACAAACAACUUGUUUGGUUCCUUUAACCAGUUUGUUUUUGCAGCUAGUGGGCAUUAGAGAGUAUUAAUAUUAUAUGCAAUAUAUAUAUACUAUAUAGUAGUUAUGCA